GAUGAAGAACGUAGUGAAAUGCGAUACUUGGUGUGAAUUGCAGAAUCCCGUGAACCAUCGAGUCUUUGAACGCAAGUUGCGCCCGAAGCCAUUAGGCCGAGGGCACGCCUGCCUGGGCGUCACACGUCGUUGCCCCCCCAUCUACUCCUUCGGGAUUGCGGGGGGCGGAUGAUGGCCUCCCGUGCGCCUCGUCGCGCGGUUGGCAUAAAUGCCAAGUCCUCGGCGACGCACGCCACGACAAUCGGUGGUUGCGAAACCUCGGUUGCCCGUCGUGUGCGGUCGUCGCGCAUCGAGGGCUCGAAAAAAUUGCCGGGCUCCGGCUCGGCUUUCAACGCGACCCCAGGUCAGGCGGGGUUACCCGCUGAAUUUAAGCAUAUCAAUAAGCGGAGA
rnacentral:misc_RNA from 1 species